rnacentral:rRNA from 1 species
CCUGAAAGAUGAUCAGGUAGAUAGGUUUGGAGUGGAAGUGUAGCGAUACAUGGAGCGGACAAAUACUAAUCGAUCGAGGACUUAACCAAAA